rnacentral:rRNA from 1 species
GAUGAACGCUGGCGGCGUGCCUAAUACAUGCAAGUCGAGCGAAUGGAUUAAGAGCUUGCUCUUAUGAAGUUAGCGGCGGACGGGUGAGUAACACGUGGGUAACCUGCCCAUAAGACUGGGAUAACUCCGGGCAACCGGGGCUAAUACCGGAUAACAUUUUGAACCGCAUGGUUCGAAAUUGAAAGGCGGCUUCGGCUGUCACUUAUGGAUGGACCCGCGUCGCAUGAGCUAGUUGGUGAGGUAACGGCUCACCAAGGCAACGAUGCGUAGCCGACCUGAGAGGGUGAUCGGCCACGCUGGGACUGAGACACGGCCCAGACUCCUACGGGAGGCAGCAGUAGGGAAUCUUCCGAAAUGGACGAAAGUCUGACGGAGCAACGCCGCGUGAGUGAUGAAGGCUUUCGGGUCGUAAACUCUGUUGUUAGGGAAGAACAAGUGCUAGUUGAAUAAGCUGGCACCUUGACGGUACCUAACCAGAAAGCCACGGCUAACUACGUGCCAGCAGCCGCGGUAA